CCCACAGCAGCUAACUUGGUAGGAGCGCUCGGUUGAAGCCCGAGAGGUGCUGGUUCGAUUCCAGACUGUGGGA
rnacentral:tRNA from 1 species